rnacentral:lncRNA from 1 species
GUGGUGGUGGUGGUGGUUGUCUUACUUGUUUGUUUUUGUUUUCUUGUCUUCAUUACUAAAGAUUGAACCCAGAGCCUCGCUCAUGCUAAGCAGGUGCUUCAUCUCCGAGCUCGCCUUUGAGUAUUUCCUAGGUUUAGUUACUCUUUGUUUUCUCUAUUCAAGCCGAGUCUUACACCGGCAGAGAGAAAGAAAGGGUCCUCCACCUGUACGUAGGAUUGCCAUAUUUUGUAAGGUUGCUUAUGAUAACAUUACAAAACUAUAUUGUAAUUUGAUGGUUUCCUCUCCUUAUUAGCUAAGUGCAGCCUGGUAUUAUUAUUUGCUAGAUGUGACUGUUUUUCCAAAAAAAAUGAAAAAGGAUCUACUUAGCCAGGUGUGGGGGCACAUGUUUUUAAUCACAGCCCUCAGGAGAUGAGACAGGCAGAUCUCUAUGAGUAAUGAGUUCUAGGCCAGCCUGGUCUACAAAGCAAGUUCCAGGAUAGCCAGGGCUGUUACAAAGAGAAACCCUGUCCUGAAACCAGCAAAAGGGGGAGACUGUCUACCAUUUUAUUCCCUGUUUUGGCAGGUUACACUAUGAAUAAGGAAUACUGGCUUUAUUCCCCCCCCCCUCCCUGUUAGAGGGAUGACAAAUGCUUUAAAUUGCUGACCUCAUUCCCCUUCGUUUGUUACCGGAUUCCUCGGAUGUGUGGAUGUGUGUACGUGGUUUUGUGUCUCAAGCAAUUUGGUUUAGCAACUCAUCCCUAUCUAAUUCCUGAAGUUAGCACACAGUUUAAACAUUAUUAUAAUGAAGUGGACAAUAUAGGGAAGUAUAUCCAAACCCAGCACAGUCAGCUGUGGUCUUCAGUUUACUCAGAAACUUACUUAGGGCAUCGGCUCCCAUCUGCCUUGGUCCAGCAGCCUCUUUAUGUUUUUACACUCAAUGUUUCCUUCCUAUCCAUUUUCUAUCUUUGUUUUAUCAGAAUGGUGCCUAAAGUUCAGAGUAGACUGUGUUAUCUCGCAAGUGCUCAAAGGCUCCCUGUUAUCCUCAAGGUCGACUUGAGCUCCCUAACCUGAUUCUUAAGGAUGGAUCUUGGUGAUUAGGCUGCCUGCUGUCAUGAUCUCUUCCUUCAGACAUGCUACUCGUAGGUGCAGUGGGUUUUCAGUACAUUGAAUUUCGUGUUCUUUACUAUCAGUAAACCCUUUCUGCCUGUUUUUUAUAUAUAUAUAUAUUUUUUUCUGAACAUAGCAGCUUUUCUCCACUCUCUGAUACAAGUUCUCCCUCUUUACCUCACUAAAUUAUUCAGCUUAUCAGGUUUCACCUUAGGCUAAUUAUUUUUCUUUUCUUUUCUUUCUUUCUUUUUUUUUUUGGCUUGUUUGGUUUUAGACAGGCUCUUUAUAGCCUUGGCUGUCCUUGAAACUUGCUUUAUAGAGCAAGCUGACAUCGAACUCUCAGAGUUCUACCUGUCCUGUUCCCCCACAGCACUAAGACUAAAUGAAUAUGUUAUCAUACUAUGGCUCUCAAUUGAGUUAAAACCAUAGGAUAUUAUUUAAAGGUGUAAACCUGGUGGUUUAACAAUAGCUGAACCUUUUUCUCUUCUAAAAUUAUGGCAGGUAGUAAACUGUCGUUGAAUUUUUUUUUUUUUCCCUAAUUUAGUUUCUGUUUAAAACAUUGUUUUCCUUCCUUGGGCUACAUCUCCUUCUCCCACUUUUAUAGUGGGGUUAGAUUCUUUAUUAGGGUCCGCAUGCCAUCCUGGAGUUCUUCAACCUCUUGUUUGGCUUAUUGAAAGUAACUACUAUUACAAAAGUUCCACAUUUAUGUGUAAUGACACUUGAGGUCAGAACAAAAUGAAACACUAACAUAUUAGUUAAUAUAUAGUCAAACUUCUCUCCCAACUGUCAGUCAGUAUGUGUCAGUAUCUAACCAACUGAAGGUGGAUAUAAUGGGCAGAGGCUAUCUCUAGUAUAUGCAGUCUUCAGGCAUUCCCAUUUCCUAAUCCCUAGUAAUCAGUAUAGCAACUAUUCACACAGUGCUUACAUUGUGUUACAUAUUAUUAGUGGUUGAAAGAUGGCGGAAGUACAUGAGAACUAUGUGAGGUAAUAUAAAGGCCCGGAGGCUACAGAAUUUCCUAUAGUGAGAGUCCCUCAAGCCCUGCUGCUUGAGAUGCCAAGACACAGCUGUGUUUGAAGAACUAGGGUUUCAGAGUCGGAUCACUGCACUGAUUUCUGUGUGUGCUGAUGUUUACAGGUGAAAAAAGCCAAGAUGCAGGAACCAAGAGAACAGACUUUAAGGUAUUUGUAAAACUGGGCUUCUUUUUAACCAUCUGUUUUAAUUUUUACCUCGUGCUGAUUGGUGUGGGGUGUGCUUUGUGCUGACUGCCUCUUACUUCUCACUGUCACCUUUCAUUUGGAAAUUACUUGAUUUCAGAUUAAAACUUCUCUUUAGUUGGAUUUAUUAAACCCCAAACCAGAGACUAGUUUGGGCAACUUAGCAAGACUCCACUGCAAAACAAAC